AGGAUAUUAGUUAAAAUAUAACAUUAAAAUUGCUUUUUAAAAUUAAUUAAAUUUUAUAUCUUU
rnacentral:tRNA from 1 species